ACGGUUUCAUCUCUCUCAGGGUGUCCACUAUAGGGGGCGGACAGCCCCCUCCCACCGCCGCCCCCCUUCUCGAACCGCCGCGCCGCCGCGUCAGCCGCGGCUACUGCAAUAGACAGCCGCGGCUAUAGCCCCACUCCUUCUCUCUCUGCCACCCUCAGCCGCGUCCUCGCCCCGCACGCGGCGAUUCCGCGUCCGCCGUCCCUCCCCUCACCCGCCGCGUCCACCCCCGCGGCGGACACCCUUCCCACUAUAAGCCGCCCCGCUUCCGCCCCGCCAUCGCCCCGCUCGCGGCUAUAGCCGCGUCCACGUUAUAGUGGACGCUCUCACUUUCUUUUCAUAAAUUUCAAUUUUCAAUUUGGGGAGAAAAGCCCUAAAUUCCUCCCUCUCUGAAUGAGCGCCGGAAAAGGCUUACUUCGCCGUGGGAUCGACCUUGCGUCGCCGUUGUCAUUGCCAUCACUGUGGCUCAGCGGAUUCGAGCCAUCGCCGGAACAGAGGUGGAGGCGUUGGCUCCGUGACCCCCCCUCUCUCUCUCGGCUGCUCUACUGCGGUGAGCACCGACGUCAGCUGCCAGCCCGCUCCGCCGCUGCGCCGCGCAGUUGAUAUCUCACCAACAGCUGCCUGCCAGCUCCGAUUCUCCGUCGAGCAGGGGUUCUGCCACCGGCUAUCUCCGUCGGCGUGCUCGCUGCCGUCACCGCCCGUGAGCCACGCCGUUUCGUCGGGCAAUUGCUAAGUCUCUUAGUUCUUUUACAUUUAGCUAAAAGUGUGAUUUUUAGAAGGUUCAUGGCAUCAUGAGAUUCAAGGCUUGAGAGCAAGGUGGGCAAUUUCUACUGUGUAAAAAUCUUAAGCUAAAGGGGAAACCAAGUUUCCAUUUAUUUCGAGCCUUGGGUGUUGGGAAGAUUAGUUAAGGAGUUUGAAAGCAGUGGUGUACAACAAAGGUGGGGCGAUUAUUUGGUGGGGAGAUUAUUUGUUAGCCAAUGGCUCCUUAAUGGUUUGUUUGGUAUUAUUGGCAGCUAAGUUUUUGGUAGAGUGCGGGCAUAGUUGGCUGGAAUGAUCACCUUGCCAUGGGUCACUGCUCUUCGGCUCGACAACCAAUCGGACACGGCGCAGAAAGUAGCUUGGCUCGUUAAGAAGGACGCACAGUUUUCCUUCCUAUCAUCUUGUAAUAGAGUAGCUCUAUUGUAAUUUCUUCUUUUUCUUUCUCAAUAUGUAUGUACUGUCUCUUAUAGCUAGUGUAUUUCUUUUCUCUCAUUUUCAAAGUCAAGCAAAUUUGUAACUUAUGCUUUGUAUUUUGCCCACUCAAGAAAUCAAUGAAAACUCUUUCAACCUCUUUCUU